rnacentral:rRNA from 1 species
UACGAAGGGAGCUAGCGUUGUUCGGAAUCACUGGGCGUAAAGCGCACGUAGGCGGAUGUGUCAGUCAGGGGUGGAAUCCCGGGGCUCAACCUCGGAACUGCCUUUGAUACAGCACGUCUUGAGUCCGAUAGAGGUGGGUGGAAUUCCUAGUGUAGAGGUGAAAUUCGUAGAUAUUAGGAAGAACACCGGUGGCGAAGGCGGCCCACUGGAUCGGUACUGACGCUGAGGUGCGAAAGCGUGGGGAGCAAACAGG